AGAGAAAAAUACCAAUUAUUAGACCAUAGUCUACUUGCUUUGUCUGUGCAAUUACUGUGGUGAUGAAUAUGAACCAUUACAUUUUCACUUUCUUUAAAUAACAGAAUAAGUGUGUGCUUUUGUUAAUUGUGCUGACAAACCCAGCGGGAAAAGCAACUAGACUCACAACAUUUCAUCUUCUUGUUUUAUUAUUUAAUUAUUUACACAAAAUUAAGUUGGUCUCAAUCGUGAACAUCACAAUUGACACACUCGCCCCAACGGUUAGCAGGACAGUCGGUCGCAUUUUUAAUGGCUGCCGACGGAGUAACAGAUGUUUUGGUUUGACUUCACAGGGUGAUGGACUAUUCCCGCUCAAAUUCAAAUCUGUCUGCGCCGCGGUGCAUUGAUGCUCCCUUUUGUUGUACUUCCUUGCUGUGCUGCUAAACCAGUGCCUGCCUGACAACACGGUGGCAAUUUGAUUGUUUUGAGAGAACAAAAUGGGGUCUUUACAACGACCAAAUGACUAAUGUAAAAACGUGUCUGCAAGAUGUACGACAUAAGAAUAACAGUGUGCCUACGGAUCGUUGCAGGAAGCGCCAACAUUGUUUUUUUACGUUAUCCCGCCAUAAAGGUCACUCAACAACAGACAAGCUAACGUCAUAUGGGCGGAUAGCACGUUAGCGAAAUAUGUAUGUCAAUUCACCCUAAGUGGUCGCUAAUGCACGCUAGCUGAAGCAGAAAACGGGGAUUCUGUGUUAUUUCUAACUAGCACACAUUUGCAACUUCAAGCUAAGCCGAGGAGGAUGCCAUGGAGAAGUGGGCACAUUUCAUUGGUCACACCAAAGCAAUGGGUACACUUUGCUCCCGUGUGCUGAUGUCAUCUGAAUGGAGGAGUCGGGGGAGUGUGGGGCGUAAGGAGGUGUGUUGAGUACCUGUAUGGAG